rnacentral:lncRNA from 1 species
GUUGGCGUUUAUUUUUGUUGCACUUCAGUGUUCGCGUUGUUCCAUUUGGAUUUUCUCUUACAGUUUAUGUAUUUCCUUCGGUUUUGGUUUGGAAUCCGGAUUUGUUCUCUCUAAAUCUAUUAAUGAUGGUUGAACAGCGAUAUACUUCUGUUGUCUUUAUUAGUCUUUAAGAUAUACCUCAAACUUGACUAUAUAGUAUAUUGUAUUACAAUUGUAUAUCACCCUGAUAAAGCCUUUGCAUGGUAAAUUAGUUUUUUAAAAGCUAACAACGAGCCUGCGUUGUGG